CACGUAGGGGGCGAGCGUUGUCCGGAUUUAUUGGGCGUAAAGAGCUCGUAGGCGGCUCAGUAAGUCAGGUGUGAAAACUCCAGGCUCAACCUGGAGACGCCACCUGAUACUGCUGUGGCUAGAGUCCGGUAGGGGAGCAUGGAAUUCCUGGUGUAGCGGUGGAAUGCGCAGAUAUCAGGAGGAACACCAAUAGCGAAGGCAGCUCGCUGGGACGUUACUGACACUGAGGCGCGAAAGCGUGGGGAGCGAACAGG
rnacentral:rRNA from 1 species